CACGGCUGUAGGCUUGGGUGUACGGCAAAUCCACAGGUGGUCCGCGGACACAUUUGGCACGGACAGUGCAGUGGGGGUCCCUGCUGCUGUGUGGAACGGGUGCUUUGAAGGAACAGGUUAUGUGAGGCGGCGCGCGGCAGUCACUAACUCUCGUUUGAAAGCAAUACACACUUCCCAAGGAAUUGGCUGUGCUUCUCUCAGUGUUUUUCAGAGGAUGAGUUCAGAAGGGAGAAAGGGACGCAAUUUGUUUGUAAGCUGGUGAAGAAACCGUAAUACUGAAACACUUCAUAUUCUUUUCCCCCUUUUCUAAGAUACGUCACUUGAUUAAUAACGAAGGAAGCAUGCUCUGAAGUUUUGGCAUCUGUGGUGGAAUGCAGGUGCUUUUUCCUAGUUGCUUGUGAUUUUAAAAACACAGGUUUAUGAUGUGAUUCCACGGUAUUUUUGAGUAGGUUGAAGUAUCUUAGUUAAACAGCAUUUAGCAUUCUUCAAGGCUGUUGCGGGGUGGUGUUCGGAGGCGAGAACAACCUAUUAUGAAUAUGUUUGGAGUUUCACUGACUUUUUCCAGUCAUACAGUGUGUAUAAAGCACAGUCAGGCUUACUAAUUAGCCCUAACUUACUGUUUCAUUUAUCCAAUUAGUCAUUGUCUAAUUUCUUAUGAUGCAGUGUUGCCUCUUCUGGAGUGGGCUGUAAAGACUAAGAAUGGUUUGAAGAUGAGCAGUUGCUGCAGCCUUAGCCAUUCAUCAGAUGAAAAUAGAGAACGCAGAUGAAUAACCAGAGCCUUGGACCCAGGUCAGCGUCCCUGGUCCACCACUUCUUUCAUCAUCUGCGUACUGAGGGGGAACAUACUGGGGGAGACGGCACGAUCACGAAAGCUGGAGUCGUGUACAUAUUUCUAACAGAAGAUGAAGAGAGGCAACAUUUUUUAGUAAUAGCCUGAAGAGGGAGCCAUUGGUAUAGCAGAAGCAACAAUUAGGGCAGAAUCACUAUUAAUCAAAGAAAAACUAUAUCUGUAACAAAAGUAAUAUUUUUUUUUUGUAAUUUUAAGCUCUGUUUAUUAAAUGUUUGCGGCCAUACCUACAUUUAAUGUUCCGGUUUAGGUAUGUACAUAAUUUUAAAGUUAUGCUGAAUAUUGAAAUGCUUGUUCUUUGUUCUGAAAUAUUUAUACUGAUUAAAAUAUAUUAAAAUGCAAA